rnacentral:rRNA from 1 species
AGAGUUUGAUCCUGGCUCAGAACGAACGCUGGCGGCGCGUUUUAAGCAUGCAAGUCGAACGGUAACCUGGCUUCGGCCAGGCUAGAGUGGCGAACGGGUGAGUAACACGUAAGUAAUCUGCCUUUGGAUUGGGGAUAGCUCAUGGAAACAUGGGGUAAUACCGAAUAAUACCAGGCAACUGGUGAAAGAUGCUUUAUGCAUCGUCUAAAGAUGAGCUUGCGGCUCAUUAGCUUGUUGGUAGGGUAAUGGCCUACCAAGGCGACGAUGAGUAGCCGGCCUGAGAGGGUGAUCGGCCACACUGGGACUGAGACACGGCCCAGACUUCUACGGAAGGCAGCAGCUAAGAAUCUUCCGCAAUGGGCGAAAGCCUGACGGAGCGACGCCGCGUGAACGAUGAAGGCCGAAAGGUUGUAAAGUUCUUUUCUUUGUGAAGAAUAAUGUCAGGAGGAAAUGCCUGACAGAUGACGUUAGCAGAGGAAUAAGCCCCGGCUAAUUACGUGCCAGCAGCCGCGGUAACACGUAAGGGGCAAGCGUUGUUCGGAAUUAUUGGGUGUAAAGGGCGUGUAGGCGGCUCUUCAAGCUUGGUGUGAAAGGCUACGGCUUAACCGUAGUUAUGCGCUGAGAACUGUUGAGCUAGAGUUCUGUAGGGGAGACUGGAAUUCCUGGUGUAGGGGUGAAAUCUGUAGAUAUCAGGAAGAACACCGGUGGCGAAGGCGAGUCUCUGGGCAUGAACUGACGCUGAGGCGCGAAAGCGUAGGGAGCGAACAGGAUUAGAUACCCUGGUAGUCUACGCUGUAAACGAUGUACACUAGGUGUUGGGGGCGCUAGUCCUCAGUGCCGUAGCUAACGUGUUAAGUGUACCACCUGGGGAGUAUGCCCGCAAGGGUGAAACUCAAAGGAAUUGACGGGGGCCCGCACAAGCGGUGGAGCAUGUGGUUUAAUUCGAUGAUACGCGAGGAACCUUACCAGGGUUUGACAUGUACUGGAAUGUCUGAGAGAUCAGGCAGCCUCUUUGAGGCCGGUAUACAGGUGCUGCAUGGCUGUCGUCAGCUCGUGUCGUGAGAUGUUGGGUUAAGUCCCGCAACGAGCGCAACCCCUGCCGUCUGUUACCAUCAGGUAAUGCUGGGGACUCAGGCGGAACUGCCGGUGACAAACCGGAGGAAGGUGGGGACGAGGUCAAGUCAUCAUGGCCCUUAUAUCCUGGGCUACACACGUGCUACAAUGGCCGGUACAGAGUGAUGCGAAACCGCGAGGUGGAGCAAAUCGCAGAAAGCCGGUCUAAGUCCGGAUUGGAGUCUGAAACUCGACUCCAUGAAGCUGGAAUCGCUAGUAAUCGCACAUCAGCAUGGUGCGGUGAAUACGUUCCCGGGCCUUGUACACACCGCCCGUCACACCACCCGAGUUGGGGGUACCCGAAGUCGCUAGUCUAACCAGCAAUGGAGGACGGUGCCGAAGGUAUGCCUGGUAAGGGGGGUGAAGUCGUAACAAGGUA